rnacentral:rRNA from 1 species
AAUAGAUACCCGGGUAGUCCCAGCCGUAAACGAUGCUCGCUAGGUGCCAGGCAUGGCGCGACCGUGUCUGGUGCCGCAGGGAAGCCGUGAAGCGAGCCACCUGGGAAGUACGGCCGCAAGGCUGAAACUUAAAGGAAUUGGCGGGGGAGCACAACAACGGGUGGAGCCUGCGGUUUAAUUGGACUCAACGCCGGACAACUCACCGGGGACGACAGCAAUAUGUAGGCCAGGCUAAAGACCUUGCCUGAAUCGCUGAGAGGGGGUGCAUGGCCGUCGCCAGUUCGUACUGUGAAGCAUCCUGUUAAGUCAGGCAACGAGCGAGACCCGUGCCCACUGUUACCAGCAUGUCCUCCGGGACGAUGGGUACUCUGUGGGGACCGCCGAUGUUAAAUCGGAGGAAGGUGCGGGCUACGGUAGGUCAGUAUGCCCCGAAUUUCCCGGGCUACACGCGGGCUACAAUGAAUGGGACAAUGGGUCCCUACCCCGAGAGGGGUUGGUAAUCUCCCAAACCCAUCCGUAGUUCGGAUCGAGGGCUGUAACUCGCCCU